UAAUGUUUUAGUAAGUUUUAAUCAUAAAACUCCUUUAAAUAACAUUGUACCUCAAAUUAAUUUUAGAUAUGAAAUUUAAAUUUUAAAUGGUCAUAAAAUUAAUUUUCAUAUCUAAAGUUUAAGAUACAAUGUUAAAAAGUGUUUUAUGAUUAAAAUUUUAAUAAGACAUUAAUUUAGUUUAGUUUAAACCUUAAUUUAAAGAAAUGUCUUAUCUAGCCUGUCUUCUAUCUUGUGAGCCGGGCUUAUCGUGCAACUUGGUCAAAGAUUAUAUUUCACCGACAAACACUUGCCCAGGCAACUAUGCUGGCGUCAUGAGUGGAGAACCUUCCUCCAAACCUUACCUUGGUUCCGUCAGUGACGUUUCUAGAUUCCUAUGGAACUUUCUGUCUGAAAAAACAUCUGUGCAAAAGGGAAACGCAAUCUCGGUUUGUUCAUAAGGAAGCUGUAGCAGAACCGACCAAGUGUGUAUCAAAGCAGAGAGCAGCAAGGAGGGAACAUGCGUGGUCUCCACGACCAGGUAAACUCUUUUCGCUUUGAACUGUGUCUCAUGUCCUAAAGCUGAGCAAAUCAUAAGCUAGUGAUGUCAUAUCAGAACUGUGCUUGGAGCCUUAACAGGGUUUGAGAGAACCUAGAGCCAAUCGUGGCGUAACAAAUUUGCUUUCUUAACACAUAGUAAGUCCUGGUUGUGUCAGGUAUGUUCCAGCAUAUUCAACAAGGUUAAAGUAUAACGAUGGCGCUUGGACUAUUCUCCCCCAAAACACAUCGGAUUCUACAGCAGAACCGACCAAGUGUGUAUCAAAGCAGAGAGUAACAAGGAGGGAACAUGCGUGGUCUCCACGACCAGGUAUGUUCCAGCGUAUUCAACAAGAUUGAAGUAUGCAGAUGGCGCUUGGACUAUUCUGCCCCAAAACACAUCGGAUUCUAUGGGGAUGGUUGAUCCGAUCUGGGCGGAGAGAAAUUGGAACACUAUAGGCGUGCAAGUGUACACGGUCCAGUACUCAGCAUACGACAAUGCAGUCCUUGUAGCGGGUAUUACAGUCACAACAUUGGCUUAUAUUGGAAUUAUGGUUGCCAAAUCGUUCAUCACAAAAGCUUUGAAGCAGGACUGAGACUUAUGAUUGUAGCUCCAAAAAUUUUACUUCCCCAUGAGACACCAUCUGUACGGUGGUAGAAACCUUUUUUCUAACAAUUCACUACUAAAGCUAUAUUGAAAACAGUUGUUCUUUUUUUGGAGAUAGUUCAUAUGAAAUCCUCAGUAUUUGUCAAAAAUAAGCAAGCUUGAAUAAGCAAAGUUCUUUUAACCGUUAAACAGUCAA